CCUACGGGAGGCAGCAGUGAGGAAUAUUGGUCAAUGGACGCAACUCUGAACCAGCCACGUAGCGUGAAGGAUGACUGCCCUAUGGGUUGUAAACUUCUUUUAUGUGGGGAUAAAUUGAUUCACGUGUGGGAUAUGGAAUGUACCACAUGAAUAAGGACCGGCUAAUUCCGUGCCAGCAGCCGCGGUAAUACGGAGGCUCCGAGCGUUAUCCGGAUUUAUUGGGUUUAAAGGGAGCGUAGGUGGAUUGUUAAGCGGGGUGUGAAAUGCGGAGGCUCAACCGUGGAAUUGCAGUGGGAACUGGCAGGCUUGAGUGCAGUAGAGGUAGGCGGAAUUCGUGGUGUAGCGGUGAAAUGCUUAGAUAUCACGAAGAACACCGAUGGCGAAGGCAGCUUACUGGACCGUAACUGACGCUGAGGCUCGAAAGUGAGGGUAUCGAACAGGAUUAGAUACCCGAGUAGUC
rnacentral:rRNA from 1 species